rnacentral:tRNA from 1 species
GCCUAGUUAGCUUGGUUGGUAGAGCGCCUGCCUUGUAAGCGCUAGGCCGCGGGUUCGAUUCCCACCCGGGGCG